GAAUUAGACCUGAUCAUGGGUUGAGCCACCUGGCCCGAAGGCCCACCCGAAAAAUAGGAAGGUUUGGGUAAAAAUAUAGGCCCAAAAAUGAGUUUGAACAAAAAAACGAGACUUGUUUAGAAAACGGGCCGGGCCUUGGAUAAGACUUUUUCGAUCUGAGCUCGGCCCGAAUUAUAUAUUAAAUAUUUUAUUUUAUUUUAUUUUUAAUCAUUUUUAAUUUCGUGCCCUCUUCUCCCUUAUUCUCAAUUCCAGAACCAAAAUCCCUAAGCUCACCACCUCCACCGAUCCAGCAAUGUUGUUCGUCAGCGCCGCUCACCACCUUCAUCUCCACCUCCCACCUGCUUCCUCUGUCACUGGCGCCCACCUGAUUUCCUCAAUCGACUCAGGACUUGAGUUUUUAUGACUAUGGCUAGUUCGAACACUCCUAUACCUAUGGAUGAUGUGUUUAAUGAGUAUGAAAGUGCUCUCAAACGUCAAAAGUCUACCACCUCAAAGGUGUGGGAUGAAAUGACAAAGCUUGAAUGCAAGAACAAAAAUGAAUUAAAGGUAUAAUGUAAUCAUUGUAAGAGUAUCUUCUCUGCUAAAUCUUCUAGUAGAACCUCUCAUUUAAGACGUCAUCUAAGUAACUGUUUGAAAAAAGUUAAUAAGGACAUCACUCAAUACACCAUGGCCACUCAACCAUCAUUAGGAGGUGGUCCAUCUAUAAAAAACUACAAGUUUGAUGCUGAUGAAUGUCGUCGAGCUGUUUCUACUUUUCUUAUGUGUGGCAAGCAUUCAUUUAGGACAGUUGAAGAACCGAGAUUUAGAUACAUGAUGAGAAUUGCUAGUUCUAAUUUUAAGAAUAUAAGUAGAUAUACAGCUGCUAGGGAUGUCCUAAUGUAUUAUGCAAAAGAGAAAGAUCAUGUCAAAGAAGAGUUGGUUAAAGCACCUGGUUUAAUUUGUAUAACUUCUGAUAAUUGGAACUCAGAGCAUACUAAUGAUGAAUAUAUUUGCAUUACUGCUCAUUGGGUUGACAAAGAUUGGAAGCUAUAAAAGGUAAUCAUAAGGUUUAGAGUUUUAUUUCCUCCGUAUGAUGGUUUGAACAUAGUGGAUGAGCUUGUUUUAUGUUUAUCUCAAUAGGGUAUAGAUAAGAAAAUUUUUAGCAUCACUUUGGAUAAUGCUUCUUAUAAUGAUGUUAUGGUUUUUUGUCUUAAAAAUUGUUUUCAUGCGAACCGAGCUAUUUUGUGUGAUGAUGCUUUUUUUCAAGUU